rnacentral:rRNA from 1 species
AUUGAACGCUGGCGGCAUGCCUUACACAUGCAAGUCGAACGGCAGCACGGGUGCUUGCACCUGGUGGCGAGUGGCGAACGGGUGAGUAAUACAUCGGAACGUACCUUAUCGUGGGGGAUAACGCAGCUAAAGUUGCGCUAAUACCGCAUACGCCCUGAGGGGGAAAGCGGGGGACCGUAAGGCCUCGCGCGAUUAGAGCGGCCGAUGUCUGAUUAGCUUGUUGGUGAGGUAAAAGCUCACCAAGGCGAUGAUCAGUAGCUGGUCUGAGAGGGCGAUCAGCCACACUGGGACUGAGACACGGCCCAGAAUCCUACGGGAGGCAGCAGUGGGGAAUUUUGGACAAUGGGGGCCACCCUGAUCCAGCAAUGCCGCGUGAGUGAAGAAGGCCUUCGGGUUGUAAAGCUCUUUUGUCAGGGAAGAAACAGCAGCUCUAACACAGUCUGCGAAUGACGGUACCUGAAGAAUAAGCACCGGCUAACUACGUGCCAGCAGCCGCGGUAA